GAGUUUGAUCGUGGCUCAGGAUGAACGCUGGCGGCGUGCUUAACACAUGCAAGUCGAACGGAACUUGUAAGUGGAAGUCUUUCGGAUGGAAACUUACUUGUUUAGUGGCGGACGGGUGAGUAACGCGUGGGUAACCUGCCUUACACAGGGGGGAUAACAGCCGGAAACGGCUGCUAAUACCGCAUAAGCGCACAGCUUCGCAUGGAGUGGUGUGAAAAGAUUUUAUCGGUGUAAGAUGGACCCGCGUCUGAUUAGCUAGUUGGUGGGGUAACGGCCUACCAAGGCAACGAUCAGUAGCCGGCUUGAGAGAGUGAACGGCCACAUUGGGACUGAGACACAGCCCAAACUCCUACGGGAGGCAGCAGUGGGGAAUAUUGCACAAUGGGCGAAAGCCUGAUGCAGCGACGUCGCGUGAGUGAAGAGUAUUUCGGUAUGUAAAGCUCUAUCAGCAGGGACGAAUAAAUGACGGUACCUGACUAAG
rnacentral:rRNA from 1 species